UACGAGGGGGGCGAGCGUUGUUCGGAAUUAUUGGGCGUAAAGGGUGCGUAGGCGGUUUGGUAAGUCUUAUGUGAAAUCUACAGGCUCAACUUGUAGUCUGCAUGAGAAACUGCCGGGCUUGAGUGUGGGAGAGGUGAGUGGAAUUCCUGGUGUAGCGGUGAAAUGCGUAGAUAUCAGGAGGAACACCUGUGGCGAAGGCGGCAUCCUGGACCAUAACUGACGCUGAGGCGCGAAAGCUAGGGGGAGCAAACGGG
rnacentral:rRNA from 1 species